AUGUACAUUCCUACAACAUAGUGUUAAUUAAGCGGAUCCCAGUAGAAAUCCAUAGUUAAGCACACUCAGGAUAGAGUAGUACUGGGAUGGUUGAUUUCCUAGGAAGUCCUAGUGUUUUACAUG
rnacentral:rRNA from 1 species